AGCUCCAAUAGCGUAUAUUAAAGUUGUUGCAGUUAAAAAGCUCGUAGUUGAUUCUUGGGCCUGGCUGGCCGGUCCGCCUCACGGCGAGUACUGUUCCGGCCGGGUCUUUCUUUCUCUGGGGAGCCGCCAUGCUCUUCACUGGGUGCGGCGGGGGACCCAGGACUUUUACUUUGAAAAAAUUAGAGUGCUCAAAGCAGGCAUAAUGCUCGAAUACAUUAGCAUGGAAUAAUGGAAUAGGACGUUGGACCUAUUU
rnacentral:rRNA from 1 species